CGGCGACAGCGGUGGCGGCGG
rnacentral:misc_RNA from 1 species